AUGCAUGUGUAUCAAAUAAAGUGUAUUCAAUUCAAGGUGAUCGAUGUCCUGACUGGGGAGGGCCACAAGUUCAUCUUCUCAGAGUACAGGCCAAGUAUGACCUCAAGCCCAGACUCCACGGUGUGUAUUGCCUCAAGCCCAGAAUCUAGACCAGGUCUUACCUCUACUCCAGUGGACAGAGCAAGCAGUUCCUCCAUCCCUGAGGCCAGGCCAAGCAGUUCCUCCAUCCCUGAGGGCAGGCCAAGCAGUUCCUCCAUCCCUGAGGCCAGACCAAGCAGUUCCUCCAUCCCUGAGGGCAGACCAAGCAGUUCCUCCAUCCCUGAGGGCAGACCAAGCAGUUCCUCCAUCCCUGAGGGCAGACCAAGCAGUUCCUCCAUCCCUGAGGGCAGACCAAGCAGUUCUUCCAUCCCUGAGGCCAGGCCAAGCAGUUCUUCUGCCACUCCAGGGUCUAGCCCCAGCAGUGAGUCUCUGUGCUGCAUGUCCAGCGGCCACAAUCAGGAGAUCAAUGUCCAAAGCCCAUCUGACCCACCUGGUAAGCUCCUAGGAGGCCAGGCCAGCACCCCGAGGCCUCAAAACCCACUGCUGCUCAGUGAAGAGGAUCUGUCAGACAGGGAGCUAAUGCCCUAUGCCAACAGCAUUAUCAACAUUAUCAUGCAGAAGAUGCACCAUGACGAUGACCUUUACGAGUCCGUGGGUGGCCAGAAACCACUGUCCCCAAGAAGGCGAUCACGCCCAGCUCUUCUGUCACAAUACUCUCCUCAGGACAACUCUGAGAUCCCUGUGCUCAAGAGGGCUGAUCGGAAAUCACUAAAGUCAGUUGAUCCAAAGGCCCUGAGAGUAGUCAGGUGGGUGCUGCAGACCAUCCAUAGACGCCAUGGGUGGCUGGGUCAGGCUAAUGACCACAGCAGACAGGCCAAAGAAAGCUUGCUGCUCUGUGAUGUCAUCCAGGUCUUGCUUGAGAAGCUCGACCACAAGAUGGCCACUACUGGAGACCUACAGGUGGCACCUACCCAAACAUAUGCCCUACAUACUGACGACCGCUUCAAGACGAAGUUGCAGGAGGCUACAGUUGAACCCAUCAGCGAUAUCAUCGGACAUCUGUCCAUCAAUCUGCUGAGGUCCGAGUCUUGCUUCGUGCCUAAGAAGAGAUGGUCGUCGUCAAACACCCUGGCUAAGAGCGUCUCAAUGACCAACCUGGGGAGCCGAGCUGCGGCUUCGGCUGUGGCCAUGGACAUCAGCUCCAAUGUGGUUGAGAAGCUCAAAGAGGCCUCAGGUAGCAGCAAGACCACCUGCUCGAUGACUAGCCUUCGGGACUUUGUCAGAGCCAUGACCGUCAGCCAACCAGAGCUCAGCCAGCAGGCCACCUCAUCUGGGUCAAAAAUUCACAAUGUCUACAGGGAGGUUCUGGAGAUCGUUGUGACCAAGCUGAGGAGUUUUGUCACCAAAGGGGGAUCAUUUCACAAGCCCACAGAGCACUUAGCGCAGAAGAUGGCGGAGAGCUGCCUCGAGGUAGAAUGUGCUUUCAUGGAGAUUCUGCAGACACUUAAGAGUCACGGAACAGGCGAUGAGGCAUGCAACGCCUGGGCAGUUGACUGCAUGUCCACGACUAUCUCUGACACCAUGUUUAAACGUGUGACUGAGGGGGGCCAUCCUCCUCAUCUUACUCAUGUCUCUGGGGCAACGGUCACAAACUGUGGUCCAAUCAGAAUCAGUGAUGUUAACCAGAAGCGGCCUAUCAAGAUCAAGGCUAGAAUGUCCAGGUCCUCCGUGAACCUCCUACAAACCACUGUGGAAAAGUUUGUGCAUAAGCUGACGGGUGAGCGGGUGUCCAUCCCAGAACUAGGAGAAGGAAUGUCUACUUCUACCAGUCCCCAGCAAGGAAAGGAUCCUGAGAACCUACGUAGGCCUCAGAGUGUUCAGAGGAGAUUCACUACUGAGCCUCCCUCCGAGCUCUCGCCACGGAGCCAGCUGAAACGGGAGGAGCUAAUUAGUAUGCUGUGUGCAUUGAUGACCAAAUCCAUCAUUAGCUCCUUGUCUCUGGAUAGAGCUUUUCAGGUUCCAGUUGACGCAGUCUCAGAUACAAAGGAAAGCAGAGCUUCUGCUGUGAAGUUGGGUAGGAAUACCAGAACACUGGUGCCGACGCCCCCUCCUCGCCCCACCCACACUAACAGCCAGACGGAUAAUAAGCCUGUCCAAGGGGACAGCAGGAGGAGAAUCCGACCUCUCCGUACUCUUCAGGCUGCCAAGAGGGUGGUCAGCUCCAUGGACUUGGGCAUUUCCAGGGCCACUAGUAGAAGCAGUGGGGUGGUAGGUCAGCUGGCGUGUCCAGCCAAAAGCAACAACAAUCUCUUCAGCGAGCCGCCAAGCCCCUCUGGAGCCAUUUCAAACACAUCUCUAGUAGCCUCUGAGAUCACUGAGAAUUUGGUGUGUCAGCUCCUCCAGGGUGAUUCUCCAGACUUCAUGUCAUCCAGCAACCACACCAGCCCCAGAGGAACAACAUUCAACUAA
rnacentral:lncRNA from 13 species